UGAGAUUCCUGGAGGGAAGUAGGGGCUGAAGGGGGUGGUAGAAUUGGUUUGUGAUGGUGUUUAGUGCUGUUCUAAAAUCUUUCUCCGUGGAAGCGAAUGGUAGAAUUCUAUUUCUCCACCCUCUUGAAGUCAACCGUAACUUUACCUAAUGGGAUAGGAGCAGGAAUGGCGUGUGUCUGUUGCAAGGAAGCCGAAACACUGAAAAUUUGCUGGGCUUCUUUCCUCCUGCGUGAUGUGGAAAGUACCAGGCGGUGGAAGUUGCAUCAGCCUGAGUCUUUGCGUAAGGAGGAGCAGAACAGAAAGAGCAGGAACCUCGAAAAGUUAUGCUUUCGAAGACUAUUAAAAAAACAACAACAAGCCUUUCUACCCUGGCCACCACAGGAAUUUAAUGGGGACUUGUACAGAAGCUCACGGACAGCAGGCAUCUGCAAAGAUUUUUCUUGUAGAAGUCCCUGUUUUGCAAAGAUUUGAGCUGUAGCAAUUCAAAGUACAGAUUCUAGAACAAUAAAAGAAUAAUUGAUAAAAAUCUGUGCCCUUGAAAUUGGACUUUGAGGAGCUGAAGAGAAUGAGAAACUCUGGAAUAUGUGUAGCUGUGAAAACAAGAAGCCCCCCCCCCACACACACACACAUGCCUACAUACACAUACACAACAGACCAGUGUGGCGCUCUGCAGCAAAAGGGGACCAGGAGCAGAACCGGCCUGACCAAAGAUGGAGAGUGGCCACAGGACAAGCAAAGGAUGUCACCCUAGUCCUACCUGGCUGAUGAUUUCACCAGCAUCUAGAGAAGAUAGCAGCUGCUCUAAAAUUACCCUCUGACUCCAG
rnacentral:lncRNA from 1 species